UGGGGAAUAUUGGACAACGGGCGCAAGCCUGAUCCAGCCAUGCCGCGUGUGUGAAGAAGGCCUUUUGGUUGUAAAGCACUUUAAGCGAGGAGGAGGCUACUGAGAUUAAUACUCUUGGAUAGUGGACGUUACUCGCAGAAUAAGCACCGGCUAACUCUGUGCCAGCAGCCGCGGUAAUACAGAGGGUGCGAGCGUUAAUCGGAUUUACUGGGCGUAAAGCGUGCGUAGGCGGCUUCUUAAGUCGGAUGUGAAAUCCCUGAGCUUAACUUAGGAAUUGCAUUCGAUACUGGGAAGCUAGAGUAUGGGAGAGGAUGGUAGAAUUCCAGGUGUAGCGGUGAAAUGCGUAGAGAUCGGGAGGAAUACCGAUGGCGAAGGCAGCCAUCUGGCCUAAUACUGACGCUGAGGUACGAAAGCAUGGGGAGCAAACAGG
rnacentral:rRNA from 1 species